AGAGUUUGAUCCUGGCUCAGGAUGAACGCUGACAGAAUGCUUAACACAUGCAAGUCAACUUGAAUUUGGGUUUUUAACUUAGAUUUGGGUGGCGGACGGGUGAGUAACGCGUAAAGAACUUGCCUCACAGCUAGGGACAACAUUUAGAAAUGAAUGCUAAUACCUGAUAUUAUGGUUAUAGGGCAUCCUAUAAUUAUGAAAGCUAAAUGCACUGUGAGAGAGCUUUGCGUCCCAUUAGCUAGUUGGAGAGGUAACAGCUCACCAAGGCGAUGAUGGGUAGCCGGCCUGAGAGGGUGAACGGCCACAAGGGGACUGAGACACGGCCCUUACUCCUACGGGAGGCAGCAGUGGGGAAUAUUGGACAAUGGACCGAGAGUCUGAUCCAGCAAUUCUGUGUGCACGAUGAAGUUUUUCGGAAUGUAAAGUGCUUUCAGUUGGGAAGAAAGAAAUGACGGUACCAACAGAAGAAGUGACGGCUAAAUACGUGCCAGCAGCCGCGGUAAUACGUAUGUCACGAGCGUUAUCCGGAUUUAUUGGGCGUAAAGCGCGUCUAGGUGGUUAUGUAAGUCUGAUGUGAAAAUGCAGGGCUCAACUCUGUAUUGCGUUGGAAACUGUAUAACUAGAGUACUGGAGAGGUAAGUGGAACUACAAGUGUAGAGGUGAAAUUCGUAGAUAUUUGUAGGAAUGCCGAUGGGGAAGCCAGCUUACUGGACAGAUACUGACGCUAAAGCGCGAAAGCGUGGGUAGCAAACAGGAUUAGAUACCCUGGUAGUCCACGCUGUAAACGAUGAUUACUAGGUGUUGGGGGUCGAACCUCAGCGCCCAAGCAAACGCGAUAAGUAAUCCGCCUGGGGAGUACGUACGCAAGUAUGAAACUCAAAGGAAUUGACGGGGACCCGCACAAGCGGUGGAGCAUGU
rnacentral:rRNA from 1 species